rnacentral:rRNA from 1 species
CGUUCGCGCUUCCGCCGGCGACCGGCGCACGGGUGAGUAACACGUAUGGAACCUGCCCGCAGCAGGGGGAUAAUCGGGGGAAACCCCGUCUAAUACCGCGUAACGACCCGGAGGGGCAUCCCUUCGGGUCCAAAGGUUUACCGGCUGCGGAUGGCCAUGCGUCGCAUUAGCUGGUUGGCGGGGUAACGGCCCACCAAGGCGACGAUGCGUAGGGGUUCUGAGAGGAAGGUCCCCCACACUGGUACUGAGACACGGACCAGACUCCUACGGGAGGCAGCAG